rnacentral:rRNA from 1 species
GACGAACGCUGGCGGCGUGCCUAAUACAUGCAAGUAGAACGCUGAAGGAGGAGCUUGCUCUUCUGGAUGAGUUGCGAACGGGUGAGUAACGCGUAGGUAACCUGCCUGGUAGCGGGGGAUAACUAUUGGAAACGAUAGCUAAUACCGCAUAAGAGUAGAUGUUGCAUGACAUUUACUUCAAAGGUGCAAUUGCAUCACUACCAGAUGGACCUGCGUUGUAUUAGCUAGUUGGUGGGGUAACGGCUUACCAAGGCGACGAUACAUAGCCGACCUGAGAGGGGGAUCGGCCACAAUGGGACUGAGAAACGGCCCAGACCCCUACGGGAGGCAGCAGUAGGGGAACUUCGGCAAAGGACGGAAGGCUGAACGAGCAAAGCCGGGGGAGUGAAGGAGGGUUUCGGAUCGGAAAGCUCGGUUGUAAGAGAAGAACGAGUGUGAGAGUGGAAAGUUCACACUGUGACGGUAUCUUACCAGAAAGGGACGGCUAACUACGUG